rnacentral:rRNA from 1 species
GGAUGACGGCCUUCGGGUUGUAAACCUCUUUUAGCAGGGAAGAAGCGUAAGUGACGGUACCUGCAGAAAAAGCGCCGGCUAACUACGUGCCAGCAGCCGCGGUAAUACGUAGGGCGCAAGCGUUAUCCGGAAUUAUUGGGCGUAAAGAGCUCGUAGGCGGUUUGUCGCGUCUGCUGUGAAAACCCGAGGCUCAACCUCGGGCCUGCAGUGGGUACGGGCAGACUAGAGUGCGGUAGGGGAGAUUGGAAUUCCUGGUGUAGCGGUGGAAUGCGCAGAUAUCAGGAGGAACACCGAUGGCGAAGGCAGAUCUCUGGGCCGUUACUGACGCUGAGGAGCGAAAGGGUGGGGAGCAAACAGGCUUAGAUACCCUGGUAGUCCACCCCGUAAACGUUGGGAACUAGUUGUGGGGGCCUUUCCACGGUCUCCGUGACGCAGCUAACGCAUUAAGUUCCCCGCCUGGGGAGUACGGCCGCAAGGCUAAAACUCAAAGGAAUUGACGGGGACCCGCACAAGCGGCGGAGCAUGCGGAUUAAUUCGAUGCAACGCGAAGAACCUUACCAAGGCUUGACAUACACCGGAAACGUCUGGAGACAGUCGCCCCUUUUUGGUCGGUGUACAGGUGGUGCAUGGUUGUCGUCAGCUCGUGUCGUGAGAUGUUGGGUUAAGUCCCGCAACGAGCGCAACCCUCGUUCUAUGUUGCCAGCACGUUAUGGUGGGAACUCAUGGGAUACUGCCGGGGUCAACUCGGAGGAAGGUGGGGAUGACGUCAAAUCAUCAUGCCCCUUAUGUCUUGGGCUUCACGCAUGCUACAAUGGCCGGUACAAAGGGCUGCAAUACCGUGAGGUGGAGCGAAUCCCAAAAAGCCGGUCCCAGUUCGGAUUGAGGUUUGCAACUCGACCUCAUGAAGUUGGAGUCGCU